AUGGGGUUUGCAUCCUGCAAUACGCGGAUGACACAGUAUUUUGUUUUUGAGCAUGAUAUUGACAAAGCUGUGAAUAUCAAGCUCUUGCUUUAUCUCUUCGAACUUAUGUCUGGGCUUAAGAUCAAUUUUGAGAAGAGUGAAAUAUUUAGUAUCGGGGGGGAUAAUGAUACUGAUUUGGUGUAUGCCAACAUGUUUGGGUGUCAAGUGGGCACACUUCCCAUGAAAUAUCUGGGAGUCCCUGUUACUUAUUCUACCCUCAAGAAUGCGGAUCUAGAUUUCCUUGACGGAAAAAUGAUCAAAAAACUUGAUGCCUGGGUAGCAUAUGCAGCAUCUUCUGGAGCUAGACUAACGUUGCUAGGGUCCAGUUUGGAUGGAAUUCCCUCUUUCCUCAUGUCAAUGUUCCUUUUUAAUAAGACCUUUAUUGAGAAGCUGGAUAAACAUCGCAGACGUUUCUUUUGGAGGAGGAAAAAAAGAAACAUGGAUACCAUAUGGUUAAGUGGACGAGGAUAUGUCGAUCGAAAAGGAUUGGGGGAUUAG
rnacentral:rRNA from 1 species